rnacentral:rRNA from 1 species
ACGAACGCUGGCGGCAGGCCUAACACAUGCAAGUCGAGCGCCCUUUCGGGGGAGCGGCGGACGGGUGAGUAACGCGUGGGAAUAUGCCCUUCUCUACGGAAUAGCCUCGGGAAACUGAGAGUAAUACCGUAUACGCCCUGUGGGGGAAAGAUUUAUCGGGGAAGGAUUAGCCCGCGUUGGAUUAGGUAGUUGGUGGGGUAAUGGCCUACCAAGCCGACGAUCCAUAGCUGGUUUGAGAGGAUGAUCAGCCACACUGGGACUGAGACACGGCCCAGACUCCUACGGGAGGCAGCAGUGGGGAAUCUUAGACAAUGGGGGCAACCCUGAUCUAGCCAUGCCGCGUGAGUGAUGAAGGCCUUAGGGUUGUAAAGCUCUUUCAGCGGGGAAGAUAAUGACGGUACCAGCAGAAGAAGCCCCGGCUAACUCCGUG